CUGGAACUGGACCCAUUUGGCUGAAUGAGGUGGAGUGUGAGGGGAACGAGGCGUCUCUGUGGAACUGCAGAUAUCAGCUGUGUGGAGAGGAUGAAUGUGGACACAAGGAUGAUGUAGGAGUCGUCUGCUCAGAGUAUAAAGAGAUCAGACUGACUGAGGGCUGUGAGGGGAAUCUGGAGGUGUUCUAUAAUGGACCCUGGGGGGAAUGUGUGUAACAAUGGGAUGGAUGUAGAAACAAUGGGUCUCAUCUGUCGGGAGCUGAACUGUGGAAGAUUUAAGACUGAGAGAGCUACCAAAGCACGAGUGGAAUCAGCUCCUAACAGGCUGGAUGAUGUAAAAUGUAGGAAACAUGACUCUACUCUGUUUCACUGUCCAUCUUCAUCCUGGAGUCAGAACAAUUGUGAUAGAAGCAGUGAGGUGACUCACAUUACCUGCUCCGGAGAGAAGAAACAGCUUGCAUUUGAAAACCUUCAAAAAUUCUUCUUAUUUCCAAACCAGGGUCAGUGCUCAAAUUACAUGCCUAUUAGGUUGAGAGGAGGAGAGGAAAUCUGUUCUGGGAGGUUGGAGGUGUAUCAUAAUGCUGAGUGGGGGUCUAUAUGUGCUGAUCUGUGGGACAUCAGGGAUGCUCAGGUGGUCUGCAGGCAGCUGGGUUGUGGGCCGGCGCUGAGUGCUAAUAGAAGAGCUGUUGAUGGUUCUGGUGGAGGAACUAUCUGGAUGAACAGAGUGAAGUGUAGAGGGAAUGAGAUUCACCUGUGGGACUGUCCUCAUUCCCUGAAGAUCCACACUGGCUGCUCCCACAGUGCUGGAGUCACCUGUGCAGACAUAUUUGUCACAUUACCUUUUUCAUCUGAAACAACUACAACUUACACCACAGUACCAGCACAGCUAACAGAGAAAAAGACAGUCCCUCCUUCAAAAAAUCCAUCAUCUAAUUUUCCAUACAUCUAUCCAGUGUCUCUCCUGGUUCUGGGAUCUGUGCUCUUCCUGGCCUUAGUGCUUCUGGUUGUGCUGUUUUAUCAGAACAGAGUGCUCAGGAGAGUGAUUUCUAAGGCGAGGAGGAAGACUCUGCUUGAGGCAGUCUAUGAAGAGAUUAACCAUAAAUGUGUCACUAACAGAUAUACUAAAAGAGGAAGUUUUAUCUCUGAAGAUCAGCAUUCAGGAUAUGAGGACGUAGAUGAGGAGCUUCUCUCAGAAAACUAUGGCGAGGUCUAUGAUGAUAUCAUACCUGCUGAAGAGAGCCCACACAUUACAACAGACAGUGUGAGGUUGGUGGAUGGUGGGAGCCGCUGUGCUGGGAGAGUGGAAGUUCUUCAUAGAGGACAUUGGGGAACAGUGUGUGAUGAUUACUGGGAUAUGAGAGAUGCUGCAGUGGUGUGUAGAGAGCUGGGCUGUGGGGAAGCCAUAGAUGCACCACGGAGAGCUCGCUUUGGAUCAGGAUCAGGACCGAUCUGGGUGGAAUAUGCUAACUGUGCUGGAUCAGAGUCUUCACUGAAGAACUGUAGGUUGUAUGAUUGGGGUAGACAGAGAUGUAAUCAUGAUGAAGACGCUGGUGCUGUUUGUGCAGAAGUCAGACUGGUGGGCAGAUCUCGCUGCUCAGGGAGAGUGGAGGUUCUUCAUGGAGAGAGCUGGGUCACAGUGUGUGAUGCUGACUUUGACCAGCAGGGUGCAGAGGUUGUGUGUCGAGAGCUGGGCUGUGGUUCUCCUGUGGAGGUUCUGGGAGCAGCUGCUUUUGGUAGAGCAGAGGGUCAGAUGUGGUCAGAGGAGCUUCAGUGUAGAGGAAACGAAUCUCAUAUGUACCUCUGCCAGACAUCUCCUUCCUUGAAACCCAACUGCUCUCACAACAAGGAUGUGGGACUAAGAUGCUCUGGUCACACUCAGGCUCGGCUGAUGAACGGCUCAGAUUCAUGUUCUGGUCGAGUGGAGCUCCAGUACCUCAGUGAGUGGGGUACAGUGUGUGAUGUAAGCUGGGAUAUGAGAGCUGCCAGUGUCCUCUGUGCUCAGCUGAAGUGUGGGAGUUCUGUGGCUGUGUUGGGGUCAGACUGGUUUGGGGAGGGGAGUGGCCGGAUCUGGUCUGAUGUGUUUGAUUGUCAGGGAAACGAAACACACCUGUUAAAGUGUCCCAUUUCAUCAUGGAGUCGAACUGCAUGCUCUCAUGAACAGGAUGCUGGAGUUAUCUGUAGUGGUUCUUCUCUGGCGUCUCAUGAGGGAGGAGUGCGGUUGUCUGGAGGGAUGGAGUGUGAGGGGGAGGUGGAGGUGUUCUUCAGGCAGGACUGGAGGAGAGUUCUGCUGGACUCCUGGAGUGAGUCUGAGGCCUCUGUGGUCUGCAGACAGCUGGGCUGUGGUUCUGUACUCAACACCUCCAGCUCCUCUUCAUCCAGUCCUGAACACAGCUACAUGUGUGUGACGGGUUUCAACUGCUCUGGGAGUGAAGCUCAUCUGAGGAACUGCAGCAGCUCACAAGCAGUUAACUGCAGCUCCACAGUACAGCUCUACAUCACCUGCUCUGGCUACAGCUCCAUCAGGCUGGUUGGUUCUGGGGGAGACUGUGCAGGAAGGCUGGAGGUUUUCCACAGUGGAUCAUGGGGGACAGUGAGUGAUGAAUUGUGGGAUAUUGAGGAUGCGCAGGUGGUCUGCAGACAGCUGCAGUGUGGAGUCGCCCUCAGUGCUCCAGUACCAGUACCAGCCCGGUUUGGAUCUGGAACUGGACCCAUUUGGCUGAAUGAGGUGGAGUGUGAGGGGAACGAGGUGUCUCUGUGGAACUGCAGAUAUCAGCUGUGUGGAGAGGAUGAAUGUGGACACAAGGAUGAUGUAGGAGUCGUCUGCUCAGAGAAUGGAAAUACACUAGAUUUGACAAAUUGGCUGUGUGAUUCAUCUCCUCAUGAGAGACCGUGCUCAAAGCACAUUCCUCUGAGGCUGAGGGGAGGAGUAGGAAGCUGUUCUGGAUGGCUGCAGGUGUAUCAUAAUAAAACAUGGGGGUCUGUAUGUGGUGACCUCUGGGACAUCAGGGAUGCUCAGGUGAUCUGCAGGCAGCUGGGUUGUGGGCCGGCGCUGAGUGCUAAUAGAAGAGCUGCUGAUGGUUCUGGUGGAGGAACUAUCUGGAUGAACAGAGUGAAGUGUAGAGGGAAUGAGAUUCACCUGUGGGACUGUCCUCAUUCCCUGAAGAACCACACUGACUGCUCCCACAGUGCUGGAGUCACUUGUGGAGAUUCUCAACCACAGACAAGAAGAAUCAUACUUCCACAAACUCCUCCACCAGCUGUUCCCUCCAUCUAUCCAGUGUCUCUCCUGGUUCUGGGAUAUGUGCUCUUCCUGGCCUUAGUGCUUCUGGUUGUGCUGUUUUAUCAGAACAGAGUGCUCAGGAGAGUGAUCUCUAAGAGGAGGAAGACUUCAGCUGAGCCUGUCUAUGAGGAGAUUGACACCAGGCUCAUCCCUAAAAGAAUUACUGUCUCAACUGAAAGGUGGUGAGCUUCCUGAGGGCUUUGAGGAUAGUUAUCCUGGUGCGUGUCUUUCGUCUGGCCUCUCAGAAGAAAGAUCUGGAGAAGGUCACUACAAGAAAGGUAUCUGAGAACAAAAGGCGGUAACAAAAAGGAUGGAUUUGAUUUGGAUCUCACCUAUGUCACAGGCACUCUACAGAAAUCCCAUAAAAGAAGCUGCCAUAUUUCUGGACACAAAGCAUCCCGAUCAUUACAGAGUUUACAAUCUCUGCAGUCAAAAAGGCUACGAUCCACUGUUCUUCCAUUACAGAGUGCAACGAGUGAUGAUUGACGACCAUAACGUACCGACAUUAGACCAACCCACUCGUUAGGACUCCCCCUAUCACUAGUAAUGCCCCAACACACCAGGAGGAUGAAGACUAGCACACUCUUUCUCCGAUACAUGUGAAGUCAGCCACCGCUUCUUUUCGAGCUGCUGCUGAUGCAGCAUUGCCAAGCAGCCAGCACAUUUGGAGGAAAGCGCAGCGGUAGGUGAACCCAAGGAACCUGAGGAAAGUGGUGGGAAAUCUCGAGCCAGGUCAGACCUUGGGUUGGGUUUGGGCAGAGAACCUAAGCUCUUAUUCACAUAUUGAACUUUGUGUUAUUGUGUUCUCAGUGACAUGUUGAACUACACUGCCAGUUUGAGGGAAUGUCAUUGCCAUCCACUGCAAAGGAGGCAAAGGUGUGGGAAAGGGCAAUGGCAGUGAUCUGAAGGUGCGGAUCAUAGUGAAAAGAGAGCAGGUGUUCCAGUGUGUCUGUGCCACGCAGACGAACUGUAGGCUGUUCCCAGAUACUGAAAACAAUGCCGUGGUGAUCAGCUUUCAGGAAGGGCCAGUGGUUUGUGGUGAUGUUAAGGUCAUGUUUGAAUCCAGGGCUGGUCUUCCAAAGGGGUAUGAGGACUAUCCUUUCUAUUUCUGGUUCAACACUUCAUUUGUAGAGAACAACAGGCUCUAUCUGUCAAGGGAGGAACUGGACAACCCACGUAAGUCCAAAACCUGGGACAUCUACAAGGAGGACUUUGGUGUGACCGUGUCUUUCAGUGACCCUGCACUUAUGUAGCAGACGACACUUGCUUGUGUAUCUCAACCCUUAAGC